AGCCUGAUCAGCCAUGCCGCGUGCAGGAUGACGGUCCUAUGGGAUUGUAAACUGCUUUUAUACGGAGAAAAAACACUCCUACGUGUAGGAGCUUGACGGUAUCGUAAGAAUAAGGAUCGGCUAACUCCGUGCCAGCAGCCGCGGUAAUACGGAGGAUCCAAGCGUUAUCCGGAAUCAUUGGGUUUAAAGGGUCCGUAGGCGGUUUAAUAAGUCAGGGGUGAAAGCCCAUCGCUCAACGGUGGAACGGCCAUUGAUACUGUUAAACUUGAAUUAUUAGGAAGUAACUAGAAUAUGUAGUGUAGCGGUGAAAUGCUUAGAGAUUACAUGGAAUACCAAUUGCGAAGGCAGGUUACUACUAAUGGAUUGACGCUGAUGGACGAAAGCGUGGGUAGCGAACAGGAUUAGAUACCCUGGUAGUCCACGCCGUAAACGAUGGAUACUAGCUGUUGGAAGCAAUUUCAGUGGCUAAGCGAAAGUGAUAAGUAUCCCACCUGGGGAGUACGUUCGCAAGAAUGAAACUC
rnacentral:rRNA from 1 species